AUGCUUUUCCGCAACCCGGAAACUGCCGACCCCAAACCGGAAAUGCUUUUCCGCAAACCGGAAGCUGCCGACGCCAAACCGGAAAACGGCUCACCCCGGUGCGCCGCCGCCGUCCCGCCCAAAGUUUUCGCCUUCCCGCCGCCGCCGGAGGAGCUGGCGCUGUCGGAGCGCGCCACGCUGACGUGCCUGGCCAGCGGCUUCGCGCCGCGCGACGUCCUGAUGACGUGGACGCAGCAGGACGAGCCCGUGGACCCCCGGAAGUUCUCGGUGCUGGGGCCGGAAGCGGACGCUUCCGGAAGGUUCUCGGCCUACUCGAAGCUGUCGGUGCCGGCGGAGGAGUGGAGGAGGGGCGACGUUUUCGGCUGCGUGGUCGGGCACGAGGGCCUCGAGGGCGUCAAGUUCGUGCAGAGGAACCUGGACAAGAGCUCGGCGCGGCCGGCGCACGUCAACGUGUCGGUGGUGCUGGCGGACUCCGACCUCGUGUGUUAUUGAAAAAAUUGGUUUUUUGGGGGGAAUAAAUAAAGUUUUGGGAAAUUCA